AAGUCGAGGGGCAGCAUGGUCUUAGCUUGCUAAGGCCGAUGGCGACCGGCGCACGGGUGAGUAACACGUAUCCAACCUGCCGUCUACUCUUGGACAGCCUUCUGAAAGGAAGAUUAAUACAAGAUGGCAUCAUGAGUCCGCAUGUUCACAUGAUUAAAGGUAUUCCGGUAGACGAUGGGGAUGCGUUCCAUUAGAUAGUAGGCGGGGUAACGGCCCACCUAGUCUUCGAUGGAUAGGGGUUCUGAGAGGAAGGUCCCCCACAUUGGAACUGAGACACGGUCCAAACUCCUACGGGAGGCAGCAGUGAGGAAUAUUGGUCAAUGGGCGAGAGCCUGAACCAGCCAAGUAGCGUGAAGGAUGACUGCCCUAUGGGUUGUAAACUUCUUUUAUAAAGGAAUAAAGUCGGGUAUGGAUACCCGUUUGCAUGUACUUUAUGAAUAAGGAUCGGCUAACUCCGUGCCAGCAGCCGCGGUAAUACGGAGGAUCCGAGCGUUAUCCGGAUUUAUUGGGUUUAAAGGGAGCGUAGAUGGAUGUUUAAGUCAGUUGUGAAAGUUUGCGGCUCAACCGUAAAAUUGCAGUUGAUACUGGAUAUCUUGAGUGCAGUUGAGGCAGGCGGAAUUCGUGGUGUAGCGGUGAAAUGCUUAGAUAUCACGAAGAACUCCGAUUGCGAAGGCAGCCUGCUAAGCUGCAACUGACAUUGAGGCUCGAAAGUGUGGGUAUCAAACAG
rnacentral:rRNA from 1 species